rnacentral:rRNA from 1 species
UACGGAGGGAGCUAGCGUUAUUCGGAAUUACUGGGCGUAAAGCGCACGUAGGCGGCUUUGUAAGUUAGAGGUGAAAGCCUGGGGCUCAACCUCAGAAUUGCCUUUAAGACUGCAUCGCUAGAAUCCAGGAGAGGGGAGUGGAAUUCCGAGUGUAGAGGUGAAAUUCGUAGAUAUACGGAAGAACACCAGUGGCGAAGGCGGCUCACUGGACUGGUAUUGACGCUGAGGUGCGAAAGCGUGGGGAGCAAACAGG